rnacentral:rRNA from 1 species
AACGUAGGACGCAAGCGUUAUCCGGAGUUACUGGGCGUAAAGCGUGCGUAGGCGGUUUCUUAAGUCCGUUGUGAAAGCCCUGGGCUCAACCUGGGAAUGGCGAUGGAUACUGGCUCGCUAGAGUGCGGUAGAGGGUGGUGGAAUUCCCGGUGUACGCUAGUGAAAUGACGUAGAGAUCGGGAGGAACAUCAGUGGCGAAGGCGGAC